CAACUCACACAUCUGCAGGGGAGCGCCCACACGCUCUGGAGACACAUGGCCCAAUGUUUGGGCAUUCUGGCACACUCUCACAAGAGCACAGUGUAGCCACUCGGCACUCACAAAGCAGCAACAUGCCUCCAGGACAUCUCCGUCAGUCUCCACACGCACACAUGUAACUGACACGGGCAGUCCCACACACUCGCUGGAUCUCAGACAUACAAAGACGCCUACUCAGUGAAGUCACAUGCCACCGCACAACCCACCCGAGGGCCACACAGGCACACCUUAUCAGAUUUCACAUGUCCCCUCUUCCCACUGCCUUUCUUUCUUUUAGCUCCCCCCUUCUAUUUGGACCUUGAAAACUAUACUGCCCCCCCCCCCCAAAAACAGACUGAACUCCCAGCCCCCAAGCCUGGCCGCAUUAAUUUCCCUAAGCGACACUCCGCAGUUUCCCUGGGGAAAUUAGAGGAAGGCUGAAAGAGAGACAAGGGCAAAGGGAUGGGGCUGGGAAAGGCAGAUGCUGAGAGCAAAGACAGCUUGACGUAUGGUCAGGCGAUGCUUAGCUUUGGCUUUUCGAAGGCUAGCCUCUCCACCUUUCUGAUUUUUAGAAAUUCGACACGGGAGGCAAUAAUGGAAAAAUUGGAAGUCUGUAGCAGAGGAAGAACAAACGAGGAUGGGCAAAAAAAAAAAAAAAAAAUUUGGGGGGUGCAAGAGAGGCUCAGCCCUCCGGGGACGAAGACAGACGGUCGGGCGGCGAGGGGAGGAGCCGAGUAGCAGCCUCCCGGGAGAGUCCUGUUUACACUUGAGGAUCCCAAACCGCUUAGCAGAGGAAAGGGUCAUUCUGGGGACUGAACCCAGGACUUUGUGCAUGUUAAUCACAUGCCUCUCCACUGCACUAUUAGUCUAGCCUGCAGCCAGCCUCUUUGCCCUCCGCCAACCCCUGCAAUCUGUCCUUCGAAUGUCAGAGGAGAGCUCCAGCUGCUGUUUUUGUUCCUACAGGCGCCUGCUGUACACUCAGCCUCAGGUGUGUUUACAACUCUCACCUUACACAGAACAUGGCUGAUCCUGGGGACCAGUAAGGAGAAAAUAAGCGACUAGUGAAAAUGGACAAAGACAUACUUGACCUAGCAAGUUAAAGACUUACAAAAGGGUACCAAGGAAGCGCCAGUGAGGCUGAUGGACCUUCCACGGGACUUUUAUAGGCUCUCUGCUGCAGUGUCCCUUAACUGCUCCAGCAUGGUUGUCUGCUGAAGUCCCCCUCGCCAACCAUAUAACUAGACCUCCAGCGACUCGCAGGUCUAGCACUGGCUUUAUUCCUGAGGUCCAGACUCCCAGAUCCAGCCCCCCCCCCUUUUUUUUCGAGACAGGGUUUCUCUGUGUAGCCCUGACUGUCCUGAAGCUCACUCUGUAGACCAGGCUGGCCUCGAACUCAGAAAUCCACCUGCCUCUGCCUCCCAAGUCCAGCCCCUUUUCUUCCCUGCCUUGGUGCUCCAUGGAGUCUCACACAGAGGCCAACUGAAAUCGCCCCUUGUUUCCUCUCUUGGUUGAUGGCACUUUCCUCCGUGCAAAAUUAGACCUCCAACUUUCUUCCCUUCCCUAGUUCCCUGAGCUUACUUCUUGUCCCCACACCCCUGACCUGCAUGUGCCCAGAGGCUCAAGAUCAACUGAUGUCAAUCAUGAGUUGGGGAUUUCUUUUUUUUAUCUCCACACCUACCUCAGUUUCUCUAUUUCCAUACUUACUGUAUCAUUCAAGCUCAAAAAAGAAAAAAAAAGUCCCCAGGAAUGCACAAACCGCCUUUCCAUUUAAAAUACAAAUGGGCUGUUGUAAAUUCCCUCCACGUUGCUCCACCCUCCCUCUGUUCAAAUAUCCAACUGUUCUGGGCUGAUUUCAGAUAUAUGACCUCACAUCCCAAGAGGGCCCCUUCUCUGGCCCAGCUCGAUCCUCUCAAGGAUUUCCUGACUCUGAGGCCAGCCAAAUGAGCAGCGAAUGUAGGAGGCACACUCGGCCCUUGUCCUCGGAGCGUCACUUCUUGAAGAACCUGCUCUCCCUCCUGCUGCAUAUCAUCUACUCUAUGGGAAAUGCCAAGGACUGACAAACUUCUGCCCUUCAUUGAUUGGACAGAGGAGAGACAGAGACAACGGCAGACAGAGAGGGAGGGAGAGGAGAGGGAGAAGGCAAAGAACAAGAACGGGAGGUGAGGAAAAGAGAAGGCAGGCAGACAUAACCACUACUUGCUUGUAAAUGAUAUCCCUCCAGUUCCUAGAGAGCUGCAUAUAUAUGCCACCAGGCAUACUGACACAAGCUUACAUAUCUCCCAACAUUUCAACCUGUUCAAGAGUGUGUGUGUAUAUUGCUGAGGAUCCAAGAGAUGGCCUUAGUGUACAAGGCAAGCUCUUACACGGGGCUACAUCCCAAGCCCAGCUCAAGAACUUUUGAGAUACAAGAAACAAACAAGCACCCUAAAUUUCAAAUUCUGUUUAAUAGAAGACGUUAUGUUGUAAUUUGUAAACAUUCCUAGGAGAGGAAAUACAUUCAUUUGAAAUCACAUGAAGGCUCCGGAGAGAGACAUGGUGGCUGAGCACAGUCGCUGUUUUUGCAGAAGACCAUAUUCAGCUCCAGAUAGUGGCUUACAACUGUCCAUCCCUUCUCAGUACCCUCUUCUGACUUCUGGAUGCAUCAGGCAGGCGCAACAUACAUGCCAGCAAAACAUUCAGACAUAGAAAAUAAAUAAGCCUCCUUUUUU